AAGCUUUGUAGUUAAAAUUAAUUAAUAACAUCAGCAUGCAAUGUUGAAAUUGUGUAUGUGCACCUAAGCUUU
rnacentral:tRNA from 1 species